rnacentral:rRNA from 1 species
GAUGAACGCUAGCGGCAGGCUUAAUACAUGCAAGUCGAGGGGCAGCAUGGUUGUAGCAAUACAACUGAUGGCGACCGGCAAACGGGUGCGGAACACGUACGCAAUCUACCCAAAACUGAUGAAUAGCCCUCCGAAAGGAGGAUUAAUACAUCGUAACUUAAUGAAGUGGCAUCACUUUAUUAAUAUAGCUCCGGCGGUUUUGGAUGAGCGUGCGCCUGAUUAGGUAGUUGGCGGGUAACGGCCCACCAAGCCUGCGAUCAGUAACUGGUGUGAGAGCACGACAGUCACACGGGCACUGAGACGACGGGCCCGACUCCGUAC